UACCAGCACCCCGAGUGGUCGGGACGUUUAUUGGGCCUAAAGCAUCCGUAGCCGGUUCUACAAGUCUUCCGUUAAAUCCAACUGCUUAACAGGUGGGCUGCGGAAGAUACUAUAGAGCUAGGAGGCGGGAGAGGCAAGCGGUACUCGAUGGGUAGGGGUAAAAUCCGUUGAUCCAUUGAAGACCCCCAGUGGCGAAGGCGGCUUGCCAGAACGCGCUCGACGGUGAGGGAUGAAAGCUGGGGGAGCAAACCGG
rnacentral:rRNA from 1 species